CGCUGAGUUUGAUCCUGGCUCAGGAUGAACGCUAGCGGCAGGCUUAACACAUGCAAGUCGAGGGGUAUAGUUCUUCGGAACUAGAGACCGGCGCACGGGUGCGUAACGCGUAUGCAAUCUACCUUUUACAGAGGGAUAGCCCAGAGAAAUUUGGAUUAAUACCUCAUAGUAUGUGAGAAUCGCAUGGUUUUUCACAUUAAAGUUCCAACGGUAAAGAUGAGCAUGCGUCCAUUACGCUAGAUGGUAUGGUAACGGC
rnacentral:rRNA from 1 species